AUUGAACGCUGGCGGCAGGCCUAACACAUGCAAGUCGAGCGGAGCGGCGGACGGGUGCGUAAGGCCUAGGAAUCUGCCUGGUAGUGGGGGAUAAAGUAAGGAAACGGGCGCUAAUACCGCAUACUAUAAGAUGAGGCUAGGUCGGAUUAGCUGGUUGGUGGGGUAAAGGCCUACCAAGGCGACGAUCCGUAACUGGUCUGAGAGGAUGAUCAGCCACACUGGAACUGAGACACGGUCCAGACUCCUACGGGAGGCAGCAGUGGGGAAUAUUGGACAAUGGUCGAAAGCCUGAUCCAGCCAUGCCGCGUGUGUGAAGAAGGUCUUCGGAUUGUAAAGCACUUUAAGUUGGGAGGCGUUACCAACAGAAUAAGCACCGGCUAACUUCGUGCCAGCCGCCGCGGUAAUAC
rnacentral:rRNA from 1 species